rnacentral:lncRNA from 1 species
UGUCGAAAGCUUUCGAAAAAUCUAUGAAUAAAAUUGCUCCUUCUAUAUUAAACUUAUCUGCGUAAUCUAUUACAUCUUGUAUUUGGCGUAAGUUAAAACCUAUAAAUCUGUUCUUUAUGUAUCCUGUUUGAUCAGCAUUAAUGAUUAAAUUUAAGAUUUUUUUUAUUCUUAAAGCUAGAGUGUAUGAGAGUAUUUUGUAAUCACUAUUCAAUAAUGAUAUUGGUCUAUAAUUUGCCAGUUCUAAAGGAUCAUUUUUUUUAUAAAUUAGAUUCAGUAAACUUUGUCUUUGCGUAAAUGGAAGAUGUUUAUUUUCAAAGCUAAAAUUAAAAAUUUCUACAAGCAGCGGUCCAAGAAGUUCCCAAAACUUUUUAUAAAAGUUUAUGCUUAUUCCGUCCAUUCCCGGACUUUUGUUUAUCUUUAGAUUAUUGACUGCAAUGGUUAAUUCUUCUAACGUUACGUUUCCGUCACAAGACUUACUUUCUUCUUCUGACAGUUUAUAAUUAUGUUUUGUUUUAGAAAUGUAUUUUUUAACAUCUAUAUCCGGUUUUUGUUUAGUGUCGUAUAGAUUAGCAUAAAAAUUUCUUUCAAGAUUUAAUAUUUCAUCUUGAUCUGUUACUAUUACCCCCUUAUUGUUUCUCAGUUUCAGUAUUGUCUUUUUCGUUUGUUUAGAUUUUUCAAGACCUAGAAAAUAUGCAUUAUUUUUUUCUCCUUUUUCUACCCACUCUUGUUUUGAUCUUAUUUGAGCUCCUUUUGCUUUGUAUUCAUAUUGAUUUUCUAGCUCUUUCUCUAAAGUGGAUAUUUUUUCUUUUAUAAAAUUAUUAUCUUCAUUAUUAGAUUUUUCAUAUAAUAUUUUUAAUUGUAGUUCUAAAUUACGCGUUACAUUUUUU